AGAGAUGUUUCAAUCUACAUGUGAAAUAAAAGGAGCGUGUUGCAUAUACAGUUUAUUCUCUAAGUAUUAGUCCACUUAAAAAAGUUUGUUGAGUGAAAAUAGCUCACUGAUUGUUAUCCUCAAAAUAUCAGCGACCUCUCAGGAUACAAGUCGAACACUCCUCACUUCUGAUGGUAGGAUUAUUUUCAGCAGUGGAAAUGAGGCAUCCCACACAAAGGUGAAUUUCAUCAUAUUUGGUUGUGUUGGGACUAUUUUUGUCCCGUCUCCACCAUUUUACCAGUGCUAUCAGGGCACGCACUCCAGAUGCAAUCAUUGCAACAGGCUGAGCUGGUGUCCGUCACUGGCUGUGAUUCCUGGGCUGCAAAUGUAAGAAGGAGUUUCUACCUGUGGUGUAACUUCCUCUGUUAAUAAUAAUUUGGGAACUGACAGACAGAACACCUGAAUUUUAGACCACAUCAUCUUCUUCUAUAGCGUGACUUCAUCCAUGCAUCUUCCUCUCUUAUCUUACUGCAAGUGGGGCCCUGCCUUGCUGCCUUCCUGCCUGGCUCUGGAAGUCGCUUAGUUUUAGUUGCAAGCCUUUGCUAGUGAGGGUAACAUCCCAGCCCAAGACCAAACCCUGAUUCAGGCCUCACUUUGCCUUCUGCAUCUGCUGCUAUUCUGGUACAAAUCACAGCUCAGAUCGUUGCAGCUCUGCUGAAGGCAGGAACUAGGACACUUUCCAGCAGUGGAGAACCUGCCUGUCUGCUUUCUAGGCAGCAUCAUGCUUUGUGGUUAUCAAAAUAGCCCUUCUGCUGAGAUUUGCUCCUCGAAUAUAGCCCUUCAAAGCAGGAAGAUAGGUGGAAUAAGCUCAGAGUCAGAAAAAAGGGGGUUUUAUCUUUGCACUUGCUGGCCUGGAGAGGACAGAGGAACUGGGUUUGAAAGGAGGCUCUGCAUAUCUUGAUAUAAAAUAUGCAUUUGAGAAAAGUGAAUGUGCACGUUCAGGCCAGAGUUUCAGUAACUUUUGUUAUGUCCAUCCAUUAGAUCACCUGAGAGAAACUAAGCACGUAGCACUUGUGGAGCAGUGUCAAGACAAAGACUGUUACAGGCCAUACAGUCAUGGCUCUGUGUUGAGAAAGCACUGAGGUUUCUGGAGUACAUAGCCAGUUUGGGUAUCAAAUCUCCGGCCUCAACUUGCAACAAGGAAUGAUUCAAGAAAAUCACUUUCCAUGGCUGGAAGGGAGACGACCUGAACCUUGUCUAGAGAUCAGAAGGUGGGGCCAUCCUGACAUUAAACAUUGGUUUGGAUCCAGGUCUGGAGACGCUCAGGAAGGUCACUUCACCUCCAUGUCAGCAACCUCAGCAGAAAAAUUAUGGUAAUUAUCAUUGAAGAGUCUCUGAAGUCAGCCCAUGGAAAGGGAGUGAAUGUUUUUCCCGUAGUAGAGGUGUAAUUGCUUUCCCCUUCCAUGUGAAUUGCACAAAAACUAUUUUUAGAGGCAAAUGCUGUAUGCAGUGAAACCUGCCUUGCUAAAAUGUUUGAGAAACUACCGGAGAAACGUGCACCAAGUAAGGUGGCUCUACAGGGAACGUGGAGCUAAGCAGCUCCUCAUCUCUCACCUGGUGGAGCGCAGCUCAGCUCCCAGUUGAUACUGAAGUUGUGCCACUAAUUCCAGGGAACAAAACACUAGAAGUGAGAAAAAUACUGGCCUGAGUCCAUCCUUCUUCCUAGAGGGAAAAUGCUGUUCCAUCUUCCACAUGGCUUGGGUAGGUCCUGUACUGGUAUCUGCUCGUCAGUGGCUUUGCAAAUCCUGAUUAGGUAAUUAAGUCCCCAAGAGUCUAAGAUGCUCUAGGAGGUAUGCAGCAGUUGUGCUAGCAGUUCAGAAUGGAGGUCUGCAGCCAUCUGCUUUAUCUUGUUUAUCGCUGAGAUGAGUGUCUCAAUAUCUCUAGGGGUCCUGAAGCUGUAUUCCUUCAGUCUGAAAAAAGGGAUCAACUUUUUUAGAAGUGAAGACCACGGCAGCCCAGGAUGUGGCAUAUUCACUGUGAUUCUCACCUCAUGUCCACAUGAGCGCUCUUUGCACUUUCGUUGUACAGCACUUUGAACCUUUGUGCACAGAGAAAUGAUCUGAGGAAACUAUUGCACUCCUGGAUUUCAAGUCUUGGUGUGAUUCACAAGUCACUGAACUGGAUCUUCCAAGACAUGGCUCACUUAAUUAGACACCAUUUUGUUGACACCCCAUCUUGUUCUUUAUUAUUGUGUCUGUCAUCAUUUUAGGGUGGAUAUCUUGAUUAACUCAUCUCACAAGACAAAAGACAUAAUUACCUGUUACUGAAUUUCCUAGUAUCGGUCUGUCUGCCUGUAUGUCCAGUCACUAAAGCAUCUGUAGACUCCAUCUUUUCUCCUAAAUGCUGUGAUAUCCAAGUACUGGAUAUCAAGUAUACAUGCUUUUAUAUAUAUAUUUAUUCAUUUUAAUGUGUUUUUUUUUCCUGCUUGUUACUUCACGAGUGAUUCCUCUUCAUUUUUGCCACAGUAGAGCACCUGAGCUUCCCUGGAACCAGACGGGUUCUUUCUAGACCUACAUCAAUGGAUUAGUUUAACAGCUCUUAAGAGAUGUACACGGCUGAAUCACUGAGUUAAGACUGUGACUCUGCAUUCAUAGUUAUAAUACAUCUUCCAUAAAUUCACCAGCCUCCACCUUGUUACGUAUUUUGAUUCUGAUUUUCUGAUUUGGGAAGAGCCUCCCUGCACUGCUUCUUGAAAAUCAUCUCCUGAUUCCCAGCCUAAAUUUAUUCCUAACUUCUGCAGAAUUACUGUGCUUCUUGUGUAAAACAGAUUGCCCCAUCGAAAACCCAUUGGGCACAACAGGGACACUUUCCAGUCAGCCAUCACAUCAAAGAGCCUAAUUCUCUGUUGCUUCAUUCCUGCACUUGAACUCAGGAAUGGACUUGUUGGAGUUUAGCUCUGUCGUCAGCCUUUUCUAGCCCAUACACCAGGACGUGCAAUUGUAAAGUAGACAGCCUGAAGGUCACCCUGGCUUUGUACUCAUCUUUGCAGCACUGCUGAUGGAGAACAGAGACCAGUCGGGGUGCUUUGCCGUGUUUCAGGCUUCCCUGCACUCUUGGAAGGGGAUAAAAUAUCACCUCACUGGGGUAUGGUGGACAGGACUGAAGGCAUAGAGCUUUAGAGUGCAGCAUUUGGAAAACAUCAGAAUAAGCACAAGCAUUCGUGCUUCAAGUGUGGCCAGCACAACAGACUUCUGCUGCUAAAACAGAAGAUGCCUAAGAAUGGGGAGUUUUAUCUCCUACAGUUCCUGGCUUGUGAGAAGGAAGUCCUCCCAGCUAGACCAGCAGCAGUGCAAGCAAACAGCCCCCUGCCACCUGCGGUAAGCAAAGAUGUGCCAGAGCCAGCACCAGCUGCCCAGCAGCGGCAGAGGCAGGUGUGGCAACAGCCGAAAAGAAAAGAAACCUGAGGAGCAGCUAGAGAUGGAGCUUUUUACAUCAAAAUCAGAAGCCAAGCCAUGCUCACCAAGGUACCACAAACUCUCAUUUCUGUGCCACACCUGGAACAACAGCAAAACCAAAGCCAAGUCAACGGCCUCCCAAACCAAAGAAGCUCCUGCAUAUAUGAAGUGAUGACAAAAUAUGGGGCAUGCCAUGUUAACUUCACUUUCUCAUUGCUGGUGUGAUAGAGGCUUCACUAGACAUAGUUCACAGCUUCAGCUUCUGCACCCGGGCGCCUUGGUGACCACAUGCUGCUUCCUCAUUCAGAGCAGAGGUGCUGGCAGUCCCUGAACUGCGCUGCUGCAGGUUUUGUGCCUUUGAAUUAAUGACUGCUGCUGCUGCGGAGGGUACAGUGUGGCUGUGAUCAAGCUUGGAGCUCAUACCUCAGCACCCAGGUUUCUUCUCCCAUUGGAAGCCCAGCUGAUAGAUGGUCUAGCUAAUGGAUAUGGGUAAUGGGCAGAGAGAAAGCUGUAUCAGUGUUGACACCCUACGGCUCAGCUUAAGUAUUAAAAGUCACCAGGGCUAUUACGUAGUAAGAUUUUCUAUAGAGACUAACCUCCACUGAGCCUGGUAGCAAACAGAACAAAGAGGUUUGUGGGGCUACUAAUUGCAGAACAGCAAGAGUUCAUUAAGUAAUAAAACACUUUUAAAAUGAAGCAAGAAGGAGCCCAAGUAAGAAGCAUUUAAUUCUAAUGAAUAAUGGGGUGAGGAUUUUGCCUUUGGUGGUGUUAAAUCACUGAAAGAGCAAGACUGCAAAUUUACUGCUUGCUGGGCUAAUAAUAUGUUAAGUUUUAUUAUCUACAGCCUGUAUGCUGCUUUCUAAUUACAAGUCUGAUAUAAUAAAAGUGUGAUCUCUGCUUAUUC